UACGAAGGGUGCAAGCGUUACUCGGAAUUACUGGGCGUAAAGCGUGCGUAGGUGGUGCGUUAAGUCUGUCGUGAAAGCCCCGGGCUCAACCUGGGAAUGGCGAUGGAUACUGGCGCGCUAGAGUGCGGUAGAGGAGAGUGGAAUUCCCGGUGUAGCAGUGAAAUGCGUAGAUAUCGUGAGGAACACCAGAGGCGAAGGCGGUUACCUGGACAGUUACUGACGCUCAGGCACGAAAGCGUGGGGAGCAAAAGGG
rnacentral:rRNA from 1 species